rnacentral:rRNA from 1 species
UACGUAGGGGGCAAGCGUUAUCCGGAUUUACUGGGUGUAAAGGGAGCGUAGACGGCUGUGCAAGUCUGAAGUGAAAGCCCAGGGCUCAACCCUGGGACUGCUUUGGAAACUGUGGAGCUAGAGUGCUGGAGAGGUAAGUGGAAUUCCUAGUGUAGCGGUGAAAUGCAUAGAUAUCACGCAGAACCCCGAUUGCGAAGGCAGCAUACCGGUGCACAACUGACGCUCAGGCACGAAAGCGUGGGUAUCGAACAGG